GGCAACGGCCAUACCACGUUGAAAGCACCGGUUCUCGUCCGAUCACCGAAGUCAAGCAACAUUGGGCGCGGUCAGUACUUGGAUGGGUGACCGCUUGGGAACACCGCGUGCUGUUGGCA
rnacentral:rRNA from 1 species